AAGUCGUAACAAGGUAUCCGUAGGUGAACCUGCGGAUGGAUCAUUACAAAUUUGUAGCUCACGCUAUAUAUUUUACCACUUGUGAAUAAGGGGACUCGUCCCUGCAUUUUACGUGUCAUUCAUAAUAGAUGUUGUUUAUUGUAAGCAAAAAAACUUUUAGCAACGGAUCUCUUGGCUCUCA
rnacentral:misc_RNA from 1 species